UAGGGAGGAGGCAAGCGUUAUCCGGAAUUAUUGGGCGUAAAGCGUCCGUAGGUGGUUGGCCAAGUCUGCUGUCAAAGGGUGGGGCUUAACCUCAUAAAGGCAGUGGAAACUGGCGAGCUAGAGUGCGGUAGGGGUAGGGGGAAUUCCCAGUGUAGCGGUGAAAUGCGUAGAGAUUGGGAAGAACAUCGGUGGCGAAAGCGCCCUGCUGGGCCUGCACUGACACUGAGGGACGACAGCUAGGGGAGCUAAAGGG
rnacentral:rRNA from 1 species